CGUGUUUUUUGUGUUUUCUUUUCUUUUUUCCUUUUCCUUUUUUUUUCUUCU
rnacentral:ribozyme from 14 species